UACGUAGGGGGCAAGCGUUAUCCGGAAUUACUGGGCGUAAAGCGCACGCAGGCGGUUCGCCAAGUUUGGAGUGACAGUUGUCGGCUCAACCGACAAAGGACUUCAAAAACUGGUGAACUUGAGGACGAGAGAGGAACAUGGAGCUCCAGGUGUAGUAGUGAAAUGCGUAGAUAUCUGGAAGAACACCAAUGGCGAAGGCAAUGUUCUGGCUCGUUUCUGACGCUCAGGUGCGAAAGCCAGGGGAGCGAACGGG
rnacentral:rRNA from 1 species